GAUGAACGCUGGCGGCGUGCUUAACACAUGCAAGUCGAACGAAGCACCUUGAUUCGAUUCUUCGGAUGAAGAUCUUGGUGACUGAGUGGCGGACGGGUGAGUAACGCGUGGGUAACCUGCCUCAUACAGGGGGAUAACAGUUAGAAAUGACUGCUAAUACCGCAUAAGACCACAGCACCGCAUGGUGCAGGGGUAAAAACUCCGGUGGUAUGAGAUGGACCCGCGUCUGAUUAGGUAGUUGGUGGGGUAACGGCCUACCAAGGCGACGAUCAGUAGCCGACCUGAGAGGGUGACCGGACACAUUGGGACUGGGACACAGCCCAAACUCCUACGGGAGGCAGCAGUGGGGAAUAUUGCAAAAUGGGGGAAACCCUGAUGCAGCGACGCCGCGUGAGCGAUGAAGUAUUUCGGUAUGUAAAGCUCUAUCAGCAGGGAAGAAAAUGACGGUACCUGACUAAGAAGCACCGGCUAAAUACGUG
rnacentral:rRNA from 1 species